AUCCAGACUGACAUCUCCUCACAAAGCUUCAAGUUCGGAGACGUCGUCUGAACGU
ensembl:miRNA